CUCCAAACAUGCUGGCUGCGUGGUGAUGCUACAUAUUUCUUACACUGAAUAUAUUGCCAGGUAUUGCAUAUUUCCUGCUUAUCUAACCAUCAUUCUAAAUGCCUUUUUUUGUAUCCCUGCUUCCUUAAGACAUGGCUGCCUUCCGAAACUCCCAAAGCCCAACAGCUUGGCUCCUGGCUCUGGUGUUAGGAUUGUCUCUGUUCCAGCAAGCUGCUGUUGCAUUUGUCAGAACAGCAGGCAGCUCAGACUUAAAGAUGCCCUUAGGUCAAACUAAGACUGGCCUGACCCCUGGCACCACGCAAGGCAUUCAACAGGCUCCUGAAAGAGGAGUUGAUGGGCUCUCCAAGGACUUGUUACUACUGCCUCUUCAGUUAAACACAGACGAUGGUGAUGGCUCUGGAAAUGGAAGUUGGCUGAGAGAAAAUCUCACAGAGGUAAACAGAGGUAGGGCACCAUCUUCUGGAACAAUGGAGAAGAACAUCUCCGGUCUGGGUGGUAAAGAGAAACGAGAUUUACGGGAAAGUGUAACAGACUCCCCUCCUCUCCUGGCUGGUCCACAAAUACUCAUGCAAAGGAUUAUCCGUAAUGAUAAUCAUGAUGAUCAGGAUAUAAUGAUGAUGAAUAGAAAUGACCCCAGCGUUUCACAAGCCACGACCACGCUGCCUGUUCCGUCCACAGCACCAGCUCACAGCAAAGCAACCAUGAUUACAAACAACACUAAAAGCAAUGUAUUUUUAACCACUAGAGUAGGACCAGCUAUAGAUAAAGAAAUGACCCCCAUUAGAACACUUGAAGAAACCCAUGCUGUUGAUGGUUCCUAUGACAUGGGAACUACUAUCUCUGCAAAAACAAUUGACAAAGAAGCCCCAGAGGAAAAACAGUUCAUACAUACAGCAAGUUUCAACGCUGAAACAGAGGACUCAGGAAGUACAUCCAGUUCUGGACUCAAGUCUAUUGCUGACCAGUUACCAGAUAUGACCAGUGUAUUCCGAGAACCACCUGAACCUCUACAUGUGGAAAAAAUGCAAGAGCAAGAGGCAAUAGGAGUAUUGCCUAUGGACAAAACAACAAUACAGAAAGGUAAUAGGACAUCUGGUGGUGCUGCCGCCGAGGCCCAGACACCUAUAGGGUCAUUGUCCUCAGUCAAUCGAUCAGAAGAAUUAGAUGGGCCGAAAUCUAGAGAUGAUGACAAGUCUAGGUGGUUUGGUGGGAUAUUUGGGCCAAUCACAGAGAAAGGCCUGUCUGAACCCUCAGGUCCUUGUGCUUUGGGUUUAGGCCCCUGUGUGUUUCCUACCAGCCCCAAUGGCACUCUCCUGCAGUGGGAAGAUUUGCGCCGCACUCUGGCAUUUGCCUGGGAGCUCCAUGUGUUUGGUUUUCCAUCUUCUUUAUGUUGGUGGUAAUCGGAGCCUUCUGGGGAGUAAUUGGUGGAUCUGGCAUAUGCCAACCCUUUUGUGAACCCCUCACUUUGGCAAAUGUCCUGCUACUUCUCUCAGGUUUGCUCAGAUUUGUUCAGUUCAUUGUCGACCCGUAUGGUACAAGGCACAUCCUGCCCCGUCCAAUCCUUGCAGCACUGUACAACUUACCGCUUGCCCUUCUGUUGUGGGCACAGGUCACCUUAGCUUUGCUGGCAUUGAAAGGAACACGGUUGAACCUCCUGACUCCUGCUCUUCAGCGCCCCCAUGUCACUGGAGGUCUAGCAACUUUGCACUGUGCUUCUCUUCUGGGGGCUGACCUUCUUUCCCACACCCUGUCCCCGGCACUACCUCUGAUGCUUUAGACACUCUCCAUCUGCUGGGGUCUUCCACUCUGUUUGGGAAUUCUCUUCAGGGCCCUUCCUCCUCUUAGGUCGGCCGCCAGAACCCCUAUCCCGAGAUGGGGGGCCUACAAACGGGUUGAGGAACGUGCCAGGAGGGUUCUAAUCGUCUGUGCCCUGCUGGGUGUGCUGUGCUGCACUCUUCAGAUUCAUGGCCUGCUCUGGAUGUACGGGCUCCUUGGAGAUUGGCGCCGGUUCGGCUGGGGCUGGUGGCUUGGGCAGUUCUGGGCACGCUUGCUGGAGCUGUCUUGGAGCUUCUCAAUGCUGUUGCUGGGUUCAAGGGCCUUCUGGAGGCCUAGUAGAGGUGGGCCUAAGAGAGGAGAUCGGGAUCAAGGUCAAGGGGCUGGUGGACGAUCUGAGAAUGGCGCAUUGGCUUCCUCUUGGGACAGAGUGUUGAAGUGCCUGCCUUGGAGAAGACAAGAAAAUGCCUGGGCUGAUCUGUUACCUAAUAACUGGGCAGGGUACCAGCAAUCCAGAACAGAUAUCAAGAAUUCAGUGGUUGAGAACUAUGAAGCCAAUGCAAGUGUUGGUGUAAAGGACAGCCAUGCUAACAGUACAAGUAACAGAGCUUAUAGCACCAGCAACUA
ensembl:lncRNA